rnacentral:rRNA from 1 species
AUUGAACGCUGGCGGCAGGCCUAACACAUGCAAGUCGAACGGUAACAGGAAGAAGCUUGCUUCUUUGCUGACGAGUGGCGGACGGGUGAGUAAUGUCUGGGAAACUGCCUGAUGGAGGGGGAUAACUACUGGAAACGGUAGCUAAUACCGCAUAACGUCGCAAGACCAAAGAGGGGGACCUUCGGGCCUCUAGCCAUCGGAUGUGCCCAGAUGGGAUUAGCUAGUAGGUGGGGUAACGGCUCACCUAGGCGACGAUCCCUAGCUGGUCUGAGAGGAUGACCAGCCACACUGGAACUGAGACACGGUCCAGACUCCUACGGGAGGCAGCAGUGGGGAAUAUUGCACAAUGGGCGCAAGCCUGAUGCAGCUAUGCCGCGUGUAUGAAGAAGGCCUUCGGGUUGUAAAGUACUUUCAGCGGGGAGGAAGGGAGUAAAGUUAAUACCUUUACUCAUUGACGUUACCCGCAGAAGAAGCACCGGCUAACUCCGUG